GACGAACGCUGGCGACGUGCUUAACACAUGCAAGUCGAACGGAAAGGCCCUGCUUGCAGGGUACUCGAGUGGCGAACGGGUGAGUAACACGUGGGUGAUUUGCCCUGCACUUCGGGAUAAGCCUGGGAAACUGGGUCUAAUACCGGAUAGGAGCCAUUUUUAGUGUGAUGGUUGGAAAGUUUUUUCGGUGUAGGAUGAGCUCGCGGCCUAUCAGCUUGUUGGUGGGGUAAUGGCCUACCAAGGCGGCGACGGGUAGCCGGCCUGAGAGGGUGGACGGCCACAUUGGGACUGAGAUACGGCCCAGACUCCUACGGGGGGCAGCAGUGGGGAAUAUUGAACAAUGGGCGCAAGCCUGAUGCAGCGACGCCGCGUGGGGGAUGACGGCCUUCGGGUUGUAAACUCCUUUCGCUAGGGACGAAGCUUUUUGUGACGGUACCUAGAGAAGAAGCACCGGCUAACUACGUG
rnacentral:rRNA from 1 species